AAUCAAAGCUGGCGGCGUGCCUCAGACAUGCAAGUCGAACGCGAAACCUUCCUUCGGGAGGGGAGUAGAGUGGCGCACGGGUGAGUAACACGUAGGUAAUCUACCUUUGGGUGGGGAAUAACAGCCGGAAACGGCUGCUAAUACCGCAUAAUGCAGCGGCUCGACAUCGAGACAGUUGUUAAAGCGGGGAUCGUAAGACCUCGCGCCUAAAGAGGAGCCUGCGGCAGAUAGCUAGUUGGUAAGGUAACGGCUUACCAAGGCGACGAUCUGUAGCCGGCCUGAGAGGGCGGUCGGCCACACUGACACUGGACAUACGGGUCAGACUCCUACGGGAGGCAGCAGUCGGGAAUUUUGGGCAAUGGGCGAAAGCCUGACCCAGCAACGCCGCGUGAAGGAUGAAAUCCCUCGGGAUGUAAACUUCGCAAGAACGGGAAGAAUAAGUAGAAGCGAAUACCUUCUAUGAUGACGGUACCGUUUGUAAGCUCCGGCUAACUCCGUGCCAGCCGCCGCGGU
rnacentral:rRNA from 1 species